AGCCCCGUAGUGUAGGUGGUCAAUCAUUCGGGAUUCUGGAUCCCGCGACGGUAGUUCGAAUCUACCCGGGGCUA
rfam:Candidatus Altiarchaeales archaeon WOR_SM1_79 WOR1_52_54_34263, whole genome shotgun sequence.